UACGUAGGGGGGCAAGCGUUUGUCCGGAAUUAUUGGGCGUAAAGAGCGUGUAGGCGGUCCGGUAAGUCAGCUGUGAAAGUCAAAGGGCUCAACCCUUGAAAGCCGGUUGAUACUGUCGGGCUAGAGUCCGGAAGAGGCGAGUGGAAUUCCCGGUGUAGCGGUGAAAUUCGUAGAUAUUCGCAAGAACACCAGUGGCGAAGGCGGCUCACUGGUCCGGUUCUGACGCUGAGGCGCGAAAGCGUGGGGAGCAAACAGG
rnacentral:rRNA from 1 species